AGCCCUGCCAUUGCCCCACCUGAGCGCAUUUGUCAUCCCGACGAUAUGCUUUCUGAGUCCCGGCCUCAGCCUCCCGCUCCAACGCUGAUGGAAAACUUGCAGCAAAAACGCAAAAAGGUCAUUAUCAUCGUUCCAGUGGUUUGCCUCUGCAGGUUGAUGAAACAGAUACAACGCUUGAUCUGAGCCCUAGGACCAUGCCUCAAGACUACCUGCCAUGAUGACUCCUUGCUGUCCCCAGUCCACCUGGCCGUGCUGCUGCUCCAGUUUCAACUGUUCUGCCUGUGAUUAUUAUUAUUUGACCAUGCUGGUCAUUUAUGAACAUUUGAACAUCUUGGCCAUGUUCUGUUAUAAUCUCCACCCGGCACAGCCAGAAGAGGACUGGCCACCCCACAUAGCCUGGUUCCUCUCUAGGUUUCUUCCUAGGUUUUGGCCUUUCUAGGGAGUUUUUCCUGUAGAAGCCACCGUACUUCUACACCUGCGUUGCUUGCUGUUUGGGGUUUUAGGCUGGGUUUCUGUACAGCACUUUGAGAUAUCAGCUGAUGUACGAAGGGCUAUAUAAAUAAAAAAUAAAAAUAUUUGGAUUGCUAAAUGAAUCUUAUACCUGUAGCAGCAUGGAAUGAUGAUAUGAUUUGUAUUAUUGGUGCGUGGAACUUUGAUAGUCACCUCUCUAUUCAGUAGGGUGAAAAGCGCAGAGUUGGGGACACUCAGGCUCUAGUUUGGUUGUUGUCUCUUGAUACUCCCAUGUCAGACUGAUCAUCGCUGUAGCAUUUAGCAUACGUCAAGUCAUG
ensembl:lncRNA